AGCGAACGCUGGCGGCAGGCCUAACACAUGCAAGUCGAGCGGCCGUAGCAAUACGGCAGCGGCAGACGGGAGAGUAACACGUGGGAACGCGCCCUUCGGUUCGGAAUAACUCAGGGAAACUUGGGCUAAUACCGGAUACGCCCUUACGGGGAAAGAUUUAUUGCCGAAGGAACGGCCCGCGUCUGAUUAGCUUGUUGGUGAGGUAACGGCUCACCAAGGCAACGAUCGGUAGCUGGUCUGAGAGGAUGACCAGCCUCACUGGGACUGAGACACGGCCCAGACUCCUACGGGAGGCAGCAGUGGGGAAUAUUGGACAAUGGGCGCAAGCCUGAUCCAGCCAUGCCGCGUGGGUGAUGAAGGCCCUAGGGUUGUAAAGCCCUUUCGGCGGGGAAGAUAAUGACGGUACCCGCAGAAGAAGCCCCGGCUAACUUCGUGCCAGCCGCCGCCGUAAUAC
rnacentral:rRNA from 1 species